GACGAACGCUGGCGGCGCGCUUAACACAUGCCAGUCGAACGGAAAGGCCUGCUUUCCCUUGUGGAUUGCGGGUACUCGAGUGGCGAACGGGUGAGUAACACGUGAGUGAUCUGCCCCCAACUUGGGUAUAAGCCUGGGAAACUGGGUCUAAUUCCCGAUAGGACUGCAGGGUGGUGCCUGUGGUGGAAAACGAUUUUCUAGUGGUUGGGGAUGAGCUCGCGGCCUAUCAGCUUGUUGGUGGGGUAAUGGCCUACCAAGGCGGCGACGGGUAGCCGGCCUGAGAGGGUGGACGGCCACAUUGGGACUGAGAUACGGCCCAGACUCCUACGGGAGGCAGCAGUGGGGAAUAUUGCACAAUGGGCGGAAGCCUAAUGCAGCGACGCCGCGUGGGGGAUGACGGCCUUCGGGUUGUAAACUCCUUUCGACCGCGAGGAAGCCACCUGGUUGGAAGGGUGGUGACGGUAGUGGUAGAAGAAGCACCGGCUAACUACGUG
rnacentral:rRNA from 1 species